GUAGAGGUACACUGAGGCUGGGUGGUAGAGGUGCACUGAGGCUGGGUGGUAGAGGCGCACUGAGGCUGGGGGGUAGAGGUACACUGAGGCCGGGUGGUAGAGG